rnacentral:rRNA from 1 species
CCUACGGGAGGCUGCAGUAGGGAAUCUUCCACAAUGGGCGAAAGCCUGAUGGAGCAACGCCGCGUGGGUGAAGAAGGUCUUCGGAUUGUAAAACCCUGUUGUUAGAGAAGAAAGUGCGUGAGAGUAUCUGUUCACGUUUCGACGGUACCUAACCAGAAAGCCACGGCUAACUACGUGCCAGCAGCCGAGGUAAUACGUAGGUGGCAAGCGUUAUCCGGAUUUAUUGGGCGUAAAGGGAACGCAGGCGGUCUUUUAAGUCUGAUGUGAAAGCCUUCGGCUUAACCGGAGUAGUGCAUUGGAAACUGGGAGACUAGAGUACAGAAGAGGAGAGUGGAACUCCAGGUGUAGCGGUGAAAUGCGUAGAUAUAUGGAGGAACACCAGUGGCGAAGGCGGCUCUCUGGACUGUAACUGACGCUGAGGUGCGAAAGCGUGGGGAGCAAACAGGAUUAGAUACCCUUGUAGUC